rnacentral:rRNA from 1 species
ACGGGAGGCAGCAGUGGGGAAUAUUGGGCAAUGGGCGAAAGCCUGACCCAGCGACGCCGCGUGAGGGAAGAAGAUCUUCGGAUUGUAAACCUCUUUCAGCAGGGAAGAAGCAAGUGACGGUACCUGCAGGAGAAGCCACGGCUAACUACGUGCCAGCAGCCGCGGUAAUACGUAGGUGGCGAGCGUUAUCCGGAAUUACUGGGUGUAAAGGGUGUGUAGGCGGGGAGGCAAGUCAGGCGUGAAAAUCAUGGGCUCAACCCAUGACUUGCGCUUGAAACUGUUUUUCUUGAGUGUGGGAGAGGUAAGUGGAAUUCCCAGUGUAGCGGUGAAAUGCGUAGAUAUUGGGAGGAACACCAGUGGCGAAGGCGGCUUACUGGACCACAACUGACGCUGAGACACGAAAGCGUGGGGAGCAAACAGGAUUAGAUACCCUGGUA